rnacentral:lncRNA from 1 species
AGAGGGAAGGGUCGCGCCUGGUGGGGGCCUGAGAGCCACCGGGCUGCGGUGCGCGAGUGUGGACACCGCCCCGCCUUCUGCGUCUACAGCCCUGGGUUCUGGGACCUUUGGAAACCGCUUUGGACGAAGCUGAGCAUCUCUUUCCCCACGCUGACCUCCCCCAUAGACUCCGGAUGGGAGUAAAUGAGGCUCCUGGGAAAUCCAGAAACUCUAGAGAAGCUUGUUUGCCAAACCUUGCUUUGGGCGGUGGAGACAGAAUAUCAUGUCCCAGAUCAGCGUGUGGUGACUGUGGAGGCAUUUACACACAGCACACUCCAGCUCUGCCACUGGGCCGGCUGAGGUGGCUGCGGUACACGGCGCCCAUCCUGAGCCCCAGGUUCCUCACAUGUCAACAGCAUGAAAAGUGCCUCUAAGACAUCCACAGGUGUGCAGUGUUAAAGCAGGCAGCGCCUCAGCUUGGUUAGCUCCCUUAAGGACUGCGGCUCCCUUAGGACAAGGCUCUGUCCCUCAGAGCACUGAGUGCGAUCUCAUGCUGGCAUCUUAGAGACAUUGUAUUCACCAGGUUGGUCAAAAGCCCUUCCCUGAGUCCCGUGAUAAGUGUGGGGAGGGAGGCAAAUCAAAGACCCCUACACACCUCCUGCAUGGAUGGCCAGAGCGCUGGUCCCACCUCCUUCCUUCCAAACUGCAACCCCGAUCAGCACAGCAGAGAAGUCUCCUGUGGCAGGGACCAGUAAUUCAGUGCUUCCCCUGGAGAGUCUGGGAUUGCACAGAACACCAGAGGCUGGGGAUUUAUUUGUUCACCAACAUUCAUUCAACAAACACUUACUGAGGCCAACACUGGGAAUGGAGACGAACUUCCCUGUCCUCAUGGAGCUUGCUUUCAAAAGGGAAGGAGGCAGACAGUAAACAAAACAAGCAAGUCAAUAUACAGCAUGAUGCAGAAAAGGUGUGAUGCCACCCUCUUGCCUGAGUUUAUAACAAGCAGAUGAUGUUGUCCUAAGAAUUAAUUUCAGCCGGUGAAAGAGUACAGGCAAAAAACGUGGUCUCGGACUUUCCGGUGAUGCUUAAGAACAUAGUUGCAGUUUUUGUUCUGAUUCUUUGUGCAUCUCGCGCUAAUGAAGGAUUCUGCCAUGAUUGCCACCUCUGGAGACGUCACAGCCAGCACAGCCAUGACCAGGGAUGAACUUGGCCAUUGUCCAGCAGCACCAUGGGAGGACCAGCUGCUGUAAGUGAAGGUCAUCAUCCAUCUGAUUUGCUGGCUUUUUGCAACUACUGCGGUGGAAGUCUUAGAGUAGCCACCUUCUCUGUACUCAGACCUUCACUUCGCCAGAUGUCAGCACAGCAGUGUCAGCAGCUUCGUCAAACACAAACACCACCACCUCUCUGGAUCAGAAGCACAUGGAAAGCCCACCUUGCAAGAAGACCCAGCUAUUCCAAAAGUACCCAUAUCCCUGUAGCAUCCUCUUAGCUGAAUGUCUCUACUCCUUAAACUUGUACCACUUUGAAGAGUAAAAAUUUAAAUUCA